UCGAUACGGCCGCGCGAGCCAUGCGACGUAUCAUGCAAAGGUGUUUCGUUUUUUAUCGAAUUCGAGUCGACAUGUCUCAAAAUAACACAUUCGAGAUCAUAUCAGGAUAAGUAUUGUGAAAAAAGUUCGUUCUUCAGUUCACCUCACGAGUUUUCGUUUACGUGUCGUAGACGUUUGUGGGUCUACAAUAUCGUUAAAUAAUGAGCUUUUCGCAAGGACUUCUGCGGAGCAGGGAAAACAGAGUUCUACUAGGCCCCGGAGGACUGUGUUCGUAUGAGUGCGUCGAGAAGACGAGGGAGGCUUGAACAUUUCAAAAAAUCCACGACCGUCUCGACUGGGUACGAAUAGAAGUGGUAAAUAUGAUGAUUUUCCAGCCCUGUUUCGCUGCAGCGUUUGAAAUGAUGCUCCAGAAUUGAAAGCUUUUUUAACAUUUUUCAAGGGGGAAUAUCGGUAUGAAAAAAAGAGCUGAGGUGCAAAGGAACUUCUGUACGGUCCAGGGAUAGCAGACUAAUCG